rnacentral:rRNA from 1 species
UACAGAGGUCCCAAGCGUUGUUCGGAUUCACUGGGCGUAAAGGGUGCGUAGGUGGUGAGGUAAGUCGGAUGUGAAAUCUCCGAGCUCAACUCGGAAACUGCAUUGGAAACUACCUUGCUCGAGGGUUGGAGGGGGGACUGGAAUGCUUGGUGUAGCAGUGAAAUGCGUAGAUAUCAAGCGGAACACCAGUGGCGAAGGCGAGUCCCUGGACAGCUCCUGACACUGAUGCACGAAAGCUAGGGGAGCAAACAGG